rnacentral:rRNA from 1 species
GUGAGGAAUAUUGGUCAAUGGGCGCAAGCCUGAACCAGCCAUGCCGCGUGCAGGAAGACGGUCCUAUGGAUUGUAAACUGCUUUUAUUUGGGAAUAAACCUCCUUACGUGUAGGGAGCUGAAGGUACCAAAUGAAUAAGCACCGGCUAACUCCGUGCCAGCAGCCGCGGUAAUACGGAGGGUGCAAGCGUUAUCCGGAAUCAUUGGGUUUAAAGGGUCCGCAGGCGGUCAUAUAAGUCAGUGGUGAAAGCCUACAGCUCAACUGUAGAACUGCCAUUGAUAAUGUAUGACUUGAAUUCGAUCGAAGUGGGCGGAAUGUGACAUGUAGCGGUGAAAUGCUUAGAUAUGUCACAGAACACCGAUAGCGAAGGCAGCUCACUAGGUCUGGAUUGACGCUCAGGGACGAAAGCGUGGGGAGCAAACAGGAUUAGAAACCCUUGUAGUCC